UGUUAUUUUCUUUGUUAUCUUUUUAUUUAUGUGUACUCCUAAAAUGAUAUUGUCAUUGUUACAGUGGCUCUAGGACUCCUCUGGUAUGGCAUGUGGGAAUAUAAAACUGGAAAUUUGGCUUGUGGCAGGCAAGCACAGGUUAACAUACUAUCCAUUGAAUUCAUCCUUGAGAUAAAACAGAAAUGCAGCAUGAAUAUUGAAGCAUACAAGAUUUGAAGUAUAUAUUUUUGCAUGUGUCAAGGAUGAGGAAUUCUGGACAGCUUGGUUUUGGCUCUCUCUUGUUCUUUUAAUUUACCACUUCCCUUGUUAUGAUUCUUUCACUAUUUUCUCGUCCUUUGUGAUAUA
rnacentral:lncRNA from 1 species